UUACGGCUAUAUCACGCUGAAAUAUCAGUUCUCGUAUGAUCACCGAAGUUAAGCAACGUCGAGCCUAGUCAGUACCUAAAUAGAUGAUCGCUUGGAAAUACCAGGUAGUG